AGAGUUUGAUCCUGGCUCAGGAUGAACGCUGGCGGUAUGCUUAACACAUGCAAGUCGAACGGGGUUACCGGAUCGGAGGCUUCGGCCAAAGAGCUGACUAACCUAGUGGCGGACGGGUGAGUAACACGUGAGCAACCAACCUUAUACACAGGAAUAACACUGGGAAACCAGUGCUAAUACCCGAUAUUAUUUAGACAAGGCAUCUUGAUUAAAUGAAAGAUUUAUCGGUAUAAGACGGGCUCGCGUCCGAUUAGCUAGCUGGUAGGGUAAUGGCCUACCAAGGCGACGAUCGGUAGCCGGACUGAGAGGUUGAUCGGCCACAUUGGGACUGAGAACGGCCCAGACUCCUACGGGAGGCAGCAGUGGGGAAUAUUGGGCAAUGGAGGCAACUCUGACCCAGCAAUACCGCGUGAAGGAAGAAGGCCUUCGGGUUGUAAACUUCUUUAGACAGGGGAGAAAGAAAUGACAUUACCUGUAGAAUAAGCCACGGCUAACUACGUGCCAGCAGCCGCGGUAAUACGUAGGUGGCAAGCGUUAUCCGGAAUUACUGGGUGUAAAGGGCGCGUAGGCGGGUGUGCAAGUUAGAUGUGAAAACCUGGAGCUCAACUCCAGACUGGCAUCUAAACUGUACAUCUUGAGUGUCAGAGGGGAAAGUGGAAUUCCUAGUGGAGCGGUAAAAUGCGUAGAGAUUAGGAGGAACAUCGGUGGCGAAGGCGACUUUCUGGCUGACAACUGACGCUGAGGCGCGAAAGCGUGGGGAGCGAACAGGAUUGGAUACCCUGGUAGUCCACGCCGUAAACGCUGAUUACUAGGUGUAGGGGGUAUCGACUCCCUCUGUGCCGCAAUUAACGCAAUAAGUAAUCCACUGGGGGAGUACGGCCGCAAGUUAAAACUCAAAGGAAUUUGACGGGGCCCGCCCAACCAGUGGAAUAAUGGGGUUUAUUUCCAAAACACCCCAAAAAACCUUUACCAGGGGCUUGACCUUCCCCUGAACGGGGGUAAAAGAAACCCUUU
rnacentral:rRNA from 1 species